CAUUAAAUUUCCAUUCCAUUUCAUUGAAAGCGUUAGAAAAUGAAAUUAAAUCAUAAAGAGAUUCCAAGAGAAAUGAUGGAAGCAAACAGCCAGUCAGACUAUCGUCGCUCGAGAAGGCAGGCUGGCGAAGUACAAUAACAAAAGAGCGAAGUGAAGUGGAAAUUUUAAAAAAACAUUUGAAUUAAAAAAAGCCAAACGAACAGAAAACAAAAGCCAAGGUUCGCAACAGCUUUGGAGAAUGACAAUUGUUAGCAGUAAACGAAUGGGUGGCCAGCAGUCAAGACACGAAAGCGAAUGUACUGAACCCAAAACAAAAUCACGACUUCUUUCCGUCUACCCCAAAAUGCGAUGACUGCGCAACAAGUGAAAGAAAAAAGCACGGAACAAACAAUAAAAACAACCCGCCGUCAGUCAUUUAGCAAUUUAGAAGAACUUUCAGCAUUGCAAAGUUCAUUAAAUAAUUAUCAAAUAAUAACAGUUGCACCCAUCAGAGCAAUAUAAACAAUGACUGAAACAUCAAACGGAGCAAAAAAUAUUAAUGGGAACCACCAAAUAAUGUUUUAGCUAUUGUCGUUAUACUAUUCAAUGUAAAGAGAGAUUCUGUGUGCAAGAAUGGAAACUUUGUUAGAAUACCAAGAGUGCAACAUUUUUCCUCAUGCAAUCUGUAAAAAUUCGGAAGGAAAAGACUAAGAAAUUAAUCUCAAGCAGGAAGUGGCACAUGUAUGCAUCCAAAUGCGAGCAAAAUUGAUUUUACAGUUGUUCUUCAAAUUUCGGAGAGAUAUUUGCAGCACAAUUUAUGCCGACAAUUUUUUCAUAACUUUGGAUUUGGCGCGUAUCGAAUAAGACAUGUGUGCCUCGGGAAUUCCAAAAAAAUCAUACGCGCCCUGUCGACAGCACAUUGUUCAGCAUCAACGAAGGCGAUACCGCACUAUGUUCAUAUGUGCCCAAGACGAACAAAACGGCAAUUUUGCUGUCGACACAUCAUUAUACUUGCGGUGUGGACAUGCAAACUGGAAAUAAGAAGCCGUUUGCUAUUUUGCAUGACAACGCCAAUAAAUUGGGCGUUGAUACAAUAGACCAGAUGCUUGGCACAUAUACAUGCAAGCGCUCAACAAACCGCUGGCCAUUGGCUAUGUUUUAUAAUACGGUGGACAUUGUUGCAUUUAUUGCAUACAAUGAGAUGAAGCCAAUAAAAGGAAGUAACAGACGACGGUCAUUCCUACUGGUGCUGACAAAACAAAGAGGGACGAGUGAUGAACAACCGCAUACCCAAGGAUAUGGAACGCAAUGGAAGCAUAUGAUGUAAAGAUAUUAAAAAGGCCGCCAGAAGGAACUGUACCUACGUUUGCGUCUAUAACUAACAGACCGUCAUGUCGCCUAUGCCGUUCUGAGUACGGACGGCAGCAAACAAGGGCCUAUUGCCAUUUCUGUAACGAUCCAGUUUGUGCAGUUUUUUAGGCUUUUUUCAUAUAAAACUCAUAAAAAGGUUAUGUUAUAUAUAAACUUUUUUUCUA
rnacentral:sRNA from 14 species